rnacentral:tRNA from 1 species
UGGAAUGUAGCUCAGUGGUAGAGUAUUUGCCUAAUGUGCAAGAUCCUGGGUUCAAUCCCUAGUACUACAG